UACGUAGGUGGCAAGCGUUGUCCGGAUUUACUGGGCGUAAAGAGCGCGCAGGCGGUCGAUUAAGUCGAAUGUGAAAGCCCCCGGCUUAACUGGGGAGGGUCAUUCGAUACUGAUCGACUUGAAGGCAGGAGAGGGAAGCAGAAUUCCCGGUGUAGUGGUGAAAUGCGUAGAUAUCGGGAGGAAUACCAGUGGCGAAGGCGGCUUCCUGGCCUGUUCUUGACGCUGAGGCGCGAAAGCUAGGGGAGCAAACGGGG
rnacentral:rRNA from 1 species